ACCUGGAUAGCUCAGUCAGUAGAGCAUGAUAACUCUCAGUCUCAGGGUUGUGGGUUUGAGCCCCAUGUUGGGCA